UACGAAGGGGGCUAGCGUUGCUCGGAAUUACUGGGCGUAAAGGGCGCGUAGGCGGAUCGUUUAGUCAGAGGUGAAAUCCCAGGGCUCAACCCUGGAAUUGCCUUUGAUACUGGCGAUCUUGAGUGUGAGAGAGGUAUGUGGAACUCCGAGUGUAGAGGUGAAAUUCGUAGAUAUUCGGAAGAACACCAGUGGCGAAGGCGACAUACUGGCUCAUUACUGACGCUGAGGCG
rnacentral:rRNA from 1 species